rnacentral:lncRNA from 1 species
CAGGGAUGCUGUGCAGAUGGCCAGUACUUGCAGUGUGAGCCAGCUCACUGGUACACAGAAAGCUGGAGUUUGAGAGGAGAGAGCAAAAUACAAAGUGUGUGUCCUAGACUCUCCCAUCUAGCCUUCUCAUGAGAUAGGCCAACAGCCUUCAACAGGUGAUGCUUCCUUCAGUAGCCCCACCUCCCUUGGCUUCUGCCCCUGACCUGGCUCAGGAGUCUUCAUGGGAACAGUGUGCCCUUGUCUUCAUCAAAAGCAGCCCUGCAGGGAGGAGGCUCGGAAGGAACUGGUUAAGAGAUCAGAGUAACUUUUGAGCUAAUGAGGACACUAGGUGACAUCAAGCCCAAACACUUUCUGAACAAGUGGCUGGUCCUGAGAGGUGAUCGAGGUCACACAACUAUAAGAUAUAAGCAGGAACUGAAAAAUCACAUCUCCAGACUCAUCACUUGGGCUUGGCCAUGGACUUGCAUAUCAUUGCUGAGAGAAGUCUCAACAGCAGCUUAAGUACUAUUGAAGACCUCAAGAUGACAAAUUUUCUCCAUCACUUCUAAGGCUGAAUUGUCAUAUCCAAUGUGCUUUAUGACUAUGCUUUGAUUUGUGCUGAUGGAUCUAAGGUGUGCACCUCUGGAGGCUUUGAGGUGGCUAUACUUCAGUUGUGGAUAAAGAGGUGAAGAAGGACAUCUAUGGUGAUGCUCAGUAAUAUCUGCGAAGAACUGUGGAGACAGACAAAUAGUCAAAGGUGAGGUCAGUGCUUGCAAGUAUCUUCUUUUAAAAGAGUUGCCGAAUACCAAGAGGAACAUCAUGGGAAAAAUGCAACAUGAAGAAAGAGGAGAAUUUAUCACUGCAAGAGUUAUUUCAGCUGCAAGUGUUGCUAUCAAUUUUUUCCCUCUCUAGUGGUUCAUUUGAAAUAUGGGAUAGUGAGGGAUUCAUUGCUUUGUGCAUUGGAGGUUUGUUUGUGUGUUCAUUUUCAUUAACAGUCAUAUUUCCUUUCUGAUUUAUGUGAAUUCUUUUUUUUCUUUGUUUGGCAUUGUUUCUGAUUUUUAGCCCUAUAAACACUGAUUUCUCAGGAGUAACCUAAUUUCUAUCUUUUUCUUUUUUAUUUCCAUAUUAUGUCACUUUACAAAAACAAAAAAUUGGUGUCUUGAAAAUCUUUUCCUUAUUAAUCAUAAAGGUAAAGUAGAGUUUCUCUCUAAUGUGGGUUUUGCACUCAGAUGAAUGUUAUACCUUCUGGAUCUCUCUCUCAAGCUAUGUGUAAGCAGAAACCUAUUGUUUUUCCAUUUAACAGUAUGAUUGAUUACAUAUUUAAUUCAUUCCUGUUGUCAUCAGUUCCAGGCAAAUUAAAAGUGUGUAUUUCUGCCUGUCAGGAUAAUGGAGGCACUGGAAAUAACUUUCUAGAACCCUCAUAUUUUGGAUAAAAUUGCUUUCAUUCUCCUUAGCGCUGGAAGUUUCCUCUUAUCAUCUAAUCAAAUCCACUGUCAUCAUAGAAGUAGAUUAUUUGCAGAAUUUCCCUUGAUAGGUUGAUGUUGGCAUUUUUUGUGCCGGGUUAUUUUGCCAAAUUAAAAAAAUGGAUACUUUCUGUGUUAAGCACAAACUCCGUCUUGCUCUUGGAUUGGCCAUUUCUUCUAGACUCACACUCCUUCAGCACUGGCAGAGUAAGUGGAUGGUGGGCCCAGGACAAAAGGCAAAAGGAGGCCACUUUGCCCAGCAUUUGCCUCCUCAAAGAGAGUCACUGGCAGAAUCUAGACUAAUUCACUAGUUAUUUUAUUGGGGUUGAAGGCUGAAGCCCUAAUUGCCCUUGUGCUCUAGACAAUUACUUCCUUUGAGGUCCUGAAGGAGAAGAUGACCAUGGCAGGAUAGGAUGGGAACCCAGGAUCCUGAGUGAUGUUCGGAUAUUAAGUAUUGUAUAGCUAGAGUAGUAUUUGAGUAAAGAACAUAAAUUUGAGAGUUAGGCUCAAAAUGGAGUCACAUCGUUAUCACUUACUAGCUGUGUGGUCAUGGUCAAGUUGUUUAUACUCAGUCAACCUCAGCUUUCUCAUCUGUCCAAUAUAUGUGAUUAUAGUUACUACUUUAUAGCAGUGGUGUAUUAAAUGAGAUACUCUAUAUAAAAAUGUUCAGCUCAGGGCCCAGUACAAGGUACACCCUCAAUACACAUUAUCUGCUAUUAGUAGAACAUUAAUAAUAAUCAUAAUACCAUUAGUGAAAGUUAGAAAGAAGGAUUAAUUUUAAAAAUUCAGUCAGACACUUGGGCUGUUUGGGACAGUCAGAUAAAAUCAAGCAUCGACAAACUCCCUCUUCUACUUUAUUUUCCAUGUCAGAUUUAUCAUGAUCCCUGUGAAAUAGGCACCACAUGUUUUAUUAGGUGAUCAUGACCAUUCAGUAUUUACUUUGGGUUUAGUUGGAACAGACUUAAUAUUUUUGGAAAAUUAAUUUUUAUUUUUCAACCCCACUGUAACUGGUCAGUACCUUUCAGUUAAAUCAAUAAAAUUAAUCAGGUAUGUAAUCUAAUGAUAUAGAGGCUGCAUGAUAAAUACAAGCAUUUUUCCUAAAUCCAACAAAUCUUGGUAAAUUGCAGUCUUGCAAUGUAAUUGGGAAAUUGAGGGUAACAUAUGAAAUAAUAGUGCAAAAAUAAAAACUAUGCCAUGUACAAGAACUUUGCCUUUAAGACUAUUUUGGGAUGUACCUUUCCAACUAUGUCUUGUUUUUUUGUUACUGUUUUUCUAUGAGAAUUCUGGACCUGUUGUAAUUGCUUACUUUCUUAUCAAACACUGUUUGCUUAGAUUUGCCCAGAAAUUAUUAUAUUUGAAGUCUGUCUUUAUGUCAACCCAGAAUAUAAAACUUCCAUUUGACCUGUGACAUCACUAUUAUUUUAAGGACUUAGGUUUGGCAGCUUGCCCAUAAUUUUUCUAACUUUUGACCUUGGCCUCCAUUUUUAGCUUUGCUGUUCUUAAUUUCACACUGACAAUUCCAAAAGACAUUGCCCAACAUAUUGGUAUUGGCAUGGCAUUUAUAUUAUGUUUUACAGUUUAUCAAGGGUUCUCUCAUGUAAUCGGUUUAGUCAAAUGUAUGAUAAGGCACUGAAUUAUGUAGUGUAUAAAGGGCAGGAGUUUUAAGAGUACAGAUAAAACAAAUCAGUAUAUGAUGGAGUAGGGAAGAUUUUAUAAAAUGGGGAGAAUGGAACUGGGCAUUGAAAGUGGGGUGAGAUAGUGUUUAUAUUUCAUAACAUCUAACUUUAUUAAUUUUCUUUUAAUUUAGUUUUUAUAUAACAUAUGAACAUAUGUUCCUUAUAUAACAUUCAAAGAAAACAAAAUAUAUACAGUCUUCCCUUAAAAAUCUUCCCAAUACUGUACCCUUCUUCAGAAGUAGCUACUGUUAAGAGUUCAACAUACAUCACUUUAGUUCUUAAGCAUUUUCACACAUAAAUGUGUACAUGGAUAAGCAAACAUUUUAAAUAGAUGGGCCUAUAUUCUAUUUUAUCCUACAACCUUAUUUUCUCCAUUGACAGUAUCACUUGAUAAUUUUUUUCUUAUGCAUUUUUGUAUGCCAUAAUUAUUUUUCAGGUACCAUAAAAUUUACUCUUAAGUUAAACACUCAGUGGGUUUCAGCACUUUCACAAAGUUGUGCAGCCAUCAAUAAUACUAAUUACAGAACAUUGUCAUCAACCAAAAACAAACAAGGAAACUUCUUUAUUAUUCUUCCCUUCCCCAAACCUCAGGUAAACACUAAUCUAAUUCUGCGUGUAAGAAUUCGCUUGCUAUUGGCAUUUUACAUGAGUAGAAUCUGUGGCCUUUGGCAUCUGCCUUUUCUCACAUAGCAUGUGUUCAAGGCCUAUCCACGUUGUAGCAUAUAUCAGUAAUUCAUUCAUUUUUAUGGCUGAAUAAUACACCAUUGUGUAUAUAUACCAAAUUUUGUUUAUCCAUUUACAAUUAAUGGACAUUUGUGUUGUUUCUACUUUUUAGGUAUUAUGAAUAAUGCUGCUAUGACUAUUCAUGUACAAGUGUUGAUAUGGAUACAUUUUAUGUACAUUUGUUUUCAUCUCUCUUGCAUAUGUGCCUAGGAUUGGAAUUGUUGGGUCACAUUGUAGAACCCGGUUUCAGGCAUGGUAACACUAGCUUUAAGAAACUGCCAUACUGUUUCUCAAUGUGGCUACACCAUUUUACAGUCCCAUCAGAUAUACUGGAAGAUAACCACACAUCCUUGUUAUUGUCUGUUUUUCUGAUAAUAGCCUCUAGUGGGGGUGAAGCAGCACCUCAUUGUGGUUUUGGUUUACAUUUGGAAUAAUGAUGUUGAGCAUCUGUUCAUGUGCUUAUGGGAAUGUGUGUAUCAUCAUCGGAGAAAUGUCUCUUCACACCCUUUGUCCGUUUUGUUGUUGAGUUAUAAGAGUUCUUUAUUCUGGAUACUAGAUCCUUAUCUGGUAUACAACUUGCAAAGAGGUUGUCUUUUCACUUUCUUGAUAAUGUCCUUUGAUGUACAUUUUUACAUUGUUUAGUGAAGUCUAACAUUUUUUGUUUUUACUUGUACUUUUGAUAUUAUAUGUAAGAAACCAUUGCCUAACUCAAGGUCAUGAAGAUUUGUGCAUAUCUUUUCUCAUAAGAGUUUAGAGUCUAAGCUAUUGCUUUUAGAUUUUUCAUCCAUUCUGAUUUAACUUUGGCAGAAGGCGUGAGAUAAUUUUAGAAUCGGCUUGCAACUUUCUGGAAAUAAAUCAGCUGGGAUUUUGAUAGGAAUUGUGUUGAAUGUGUAGAUCAAUUUGAGUAUUGCCAUCUUAACAAUAUUCUUUCAUUCUAUGAACAUAAGGUUUUUAAAAUUUAUUUAGUCUUUGUUAGUUUGCUACUUUCAAUGAUGUUUUACAGUAUUUGGUGCGUAAGUCUUACACUUCUUACACUUUUAAAAUUAUAUUAUUAAUAUAUUCUCUUUGACACUAUUGUAAAUGAAAUUGUUUUCUUAAUUUUAUUUUCAGAUUGUUCAUUACCAGUGUAUAGAAAUACAAUUGGCUUUGGUGUGUUAAUUUUGUAUAUUGCACCCUUGUACAACUUGUUUUUAGCUGUUUUUGUUUUCUUUUGUUCUGUUUUUGUGAAAUCCUUGAGAUUUUUAAAUAGAAAAAAAAAGUCAUAGAGAUUGUUUUACUCUUUUCUUCCUAAUCUAUAUAUCUGUGUUUUAUAGUCUUGCUUAAAUGCCCUGACUAGGACCUCACUUACAAUAUUAGAUAAAAGUAGCAAGAACAGACAUCCUCGUUUUGCUCCUGACCAUAGGGAGCAUGUAGGUAGGUUUAUCAUAAAUAUGCUUUAUCUGAUUGAGGAAGUUAUUUUAUAUUCCUAGUUUGUUAAGGGUUUUUAUCACAGAAAUGUGUUACAUUUUGUCACAUGAUUUUCUUGCAUUCAUUGAGAUAAAAAUGUAUUUUUUGUUAUUUAUUGUAUUCAUAUAAGAUAUUACCUUGAUGGGUUUUCGUAUGUUGAAACAAUUACGAGUUCUUGGGAUAAAACGAACAUGGUCAUUGCGUACAAUUCAUUGUAAAUGCUGCUGUAUUUGGUUUGCUAGCAUUUUGU